rnacentral:lncRNA from 1 species
CAACAAGCUCAAGUUCAUCACCAUUGUGAAAUGACUUGAACUGUUUGGUGAGUUAUUUGUUUUUUGGUUGAGAUAUGUUAGUAUUGUUAUAGCUUUGUACAAACCUCAUUCUCUUGAUGCGUAAUAUUUUUCAUUAAAGAUAAAACUCAGCAACGCGUCUAAAAUCCUUCGAAUGAAGUUGGCGCAUCAGUUGUCAAGGUAUUCAGAUUUUAAAC